rnacentral:lncRNA from 1 species
UUUCUAAAUGUAUAUGGUGCAUUUAAGAAAGUCACAUUUAAAAAGAAUAAUUGUACAAAAUUUGUCAUACAUCUGAUCUCAGCUGUCCAAGUUCAAUUCACUUUUCUAUGCCUUGAAAUCAUAUGUUCCAAAUCUUACUAUUCUCUUCAGGACACCUCACUGUCAGCAAGAACAAACAACAAAACAAAAACAAAAACAGAACAUCAGACAGAAAACCAGAAUUCAACAUCACAGGGAAAUAAAGGCCAUCAGGCCCUGCCAUACUUCAAGUCCAUUGCUACUAAAAUGAAGCUUCUCAACAUUUUGAGUGACUAUGGCUUUCAAAGUGAGCUGCAGUUACUGGAAAAGUGCUGGACUAUUUGCCUGUCUAAACUGAGCAGAGUACAGUAUGUAGAGAAUGUCUAACCCAUAAAAGUAAAGUUGAAAGACCAAUGCUGUGAGGCACAAAUAAGGAACAAAUGGG